CAAUUAAAGCGCCAGCGCCGAGGAAAUCGCACAGAUUCUCGGCAGACGAGGUGGAGGUUCAUCGAACAUUCGGCGGAUGCCUCCUGAUCGCAGAUACCCGAUCACAUGCAAUUCCUAAAACACUGAGGUAACUCGGUGAUACAA
rnacentral:ncRNA from 1 species